rnacentral:rRNA from 1 species
UACAGAGGAUGCAAGCGUUAUCCGGAAUGAUUGGGCGUAAAGCGUCUGUAGGUGGCUUUUUUAAGUCCGCCGUCAAAUCCCAGGGCUCAACUCUGGACAGGCGGUGGAAACUACCAAGCUUGAGUACGGUAGGGGCAGAGGGAAUUUCCGGUGGAGCGGUGAAAUGCGUAGAGAUCGGAAGGAACACCAGUGGCGAAAGCGGCUUCCUGGUCCAGCACCGACGUUCAGGCACGAAAGCGUGGGGAGCAAACAGG